rnacentral:lncRNA from 1 species
UUAUUUAUUUUUUAAUGGGAAAACGUCAAAUACCCCCCUUGUGGUUUCACUUUUUUUCACUUUAGUACCAUGUGGUUUAAAGUGUAUCAAGUUAGUAUCAUGUGGUUUUGCACUUUUUCACUUUAGUACCCUGUGGUUUAAAGUGUGUCAAGGUAGUAUUUUGUGGUUUCGCACUGUGGUUUAAAGUGUGUCAAGGUAGUAUUUUGUGGUUUCGCACUUUAUCACUUUAGUACUAUGUGGUUUCGUACUUUAUCACUUUAGUACCCUGUGGUUUAAAAAUCACAGGGUACUAACUUGAUACAAAAAUAAAAUCACAAGGUACUAACUUGAUACAAAAAUAAAACCACAGAGUACUGACUUGAUACAUUUUGAACCACAGGGUACUAAAGUGAUAAAGUGAGAAACCACAUGGUACUAACUUGAUACACUUUAAACCACAGGGUACUAAAGUGAUAAAGUGAGAAACCACAUGGUACUAACUUGAUACACUUUAAACCACAGGGUACUAAAGUGAUAAAAUGAGAAACCACAUGGUACUAACUUGAUACACUUUAAACCACAGGGUACUAAAGUGAUAAAGUGAGAAACCACAUAGUACUAACUUGAUACACUUGAAACCACAUGGUAUUAAAAUGAAAAAGUGCGAAACCACAUGGUACUAACUUGUUUGCGCCAAGCUCAAUCUCACCAUCCUCAACAUCAUCCUCGAUGCCUACGACCCCAUC